GCCAGGCCCCGGCCCGGCCAGGCCCCGGCCACGCGUUCCGCGGCAGGGGCGCGAGGGGCUCCACCGUCGCUCAGCCUGUGCCGAAAGAGCUCGUCAGCCACUGCCCAGGGAGGGCAGGCCGCGGGGCGGGUGGCGGUCGGUGGCAGCGUGCUCACUCCUCACGCCUAAGCAAGAAAGCGAGAAGCAGGGCAAUCAACUCCAUAGAAUGUAAGAGAUGAACAAACAAGAAAAUUAUAUCCAUCUUUUCUUCAAGAAGCUACAUGAGGUCACUCAGUAUCUGACUUCUUCAACUAAGAAUUGGCCAGAACUGAACAGAUUCCCUCCACUGGUAAGAAUGAUCAUAUAAGAAUCAGACAAGGAACGGCAAUGGAGAGCUCUCUCUGGAUGAUCAAGACCAUGCUGGUAAAAAAGGACCCAGAAAGCAACCAGUGAGGUCUUUCUCAGCUGUCUGUGACCUCUGUCCUCAUCUUUAAUGAAAGCAGGUUCAAGACUGAGAAAGCCUAAGAGAAAAGUUUCAUUAACAUCUUGAGGAAGAUGUGGAAGCAGCAGCAAACAAAAAGGUCAGGUGCUACCGUGCUGCUUGAGCAUCCAAACAUAAAUAGGAAAGUUUGUAAGUCUGCUUUAAAGACCUCUGUUGUGGGUUCUGCUGUUGACAAGUUGGAAAGAACAGCUGAAGCAUUAAGAGUACACUUUCAAGGGCUGAGGUUGUUUCAAGUCAAGACAUCCCUCUGCUGCAUACUUUAAGGAGAGUUUAUAGGUGUUUCUAAAGCAUUUUAAUACAACUGUGAUGGGGCAAUAGAAGUACCUAAAGAGAUCUCGAGAGAAGCCCAAGUUUAAAGUACUGAAUCUGCUAGCCUCGAGUCCAUGAAUGAUGUUGCAUCCAUAAAUCAAAAUGCUCCGACCAGCCCCUUUGGAAGGAAACCAUCCUGUAAAGCAACAUUCAAACCUGCAGACUGUGACAAAGCAGUAAAUUCAGUCUCCAAGAAUUUGCUUUCAGAAGCACUAUUGUACCUACUGUCUUGCUAAUGAGUAAGGCUCUAAGACUCUUAGAAAUAACCAGUGAGGAUAUCCUGAAGAGCUGGGCUCCCUGAGUCCCAAUGCCUGUGAAUUCUCACCCUUCCACCUCUUCAUUCACACUCGUCUGUCUUGUGCUGGAAACCAGC